rnacentral:rRNA from 1 species
UACGUAGGGUGCGAGCGUUAAUCGGAAUUACUGGGCGUAAAGCGUGCGCAGGCGGUUCGCUAAGCCCGAUGUGAAAUCCCCGGGCUUAACCUGGGAAUGGCGUUUGAAACUACGGAGCUGGAGUGUGGCAGAGGGAGGUAGAAUUCCACGUGUAGCGGUGAAAUGCGUAGAUAUGCGGAGGAACACCGAUGGCGAAGGCAAUCCCCUGGGCCUGCACUGACGCUCAUGCACGAAAGCGUGGGGAGCGAACAGG